ACCCUAGCCGCCACUUCCCACCACCUCCUCUCCUUCCCUCGCUCUGCUCUCUCCAUGCCCAGGCCCGCCUCGCCUCCUCACGCGAGCCACCGCUGUCGCCGCACCAUCAUACUGUCGUCGCCAUCCUCCUCUCGCUCCGGUCGAUGCAUCCGCCAACGAGGAGGCCGGGACCGUCGGAUCCGGUGACCCCGGCCUCAUUGUCGGUGGAUCCGGCCGCCCGGAGGCGAGGGGAGACCGGCUAUCACCCUCUCUACUCUUCUCCUUCUACGUCCGGCACCGCUACAACGACGGCCGCGCGGAUCGCGUGAGGCAACGGGUGGCUGCUCCCUUCUCUUCUCCCUUCUAUCUCCACUAUUCCUUUGCAGAUCGGCGGAGGCCUGCAACAACAACGGCCGCGCGGGCGAGCAAUCGAGGAGGCCGGGAAUCACCAGAUCCGGAAGGACGGCGGCCCGAUUCGGAGAGGGAGCAACCCGAUCUGUGUCAUUGAGGCUCAUUGUAAGUGUCGACGGCGGCCGUUCCUUCACAGUGAUCCAGGGUCGUUGGGUCUGUUGAGCUCGGUAUCGACGGCAGCAGUAGCUCGGGCAAGAUGGAAGAAACGUGUUAGACACGGCCUCCUCCGAGAGCAUACACCAGCGACGUGCAGGAGGCCGAGGCCAAAGCCGAUCUUCCCCAACCCCAUCUGGCAUUAUAACUUGUAAGUUUUUGUUCUUUUUGGUGUUCUUGGUAGACCGAUGAAAAUGGUGAUGGUCUAUCGUGCAAAUUGAUGAAGGUAGGGAUGAUAUGAUGUGUAUAUUGAGUAUGAAUGCAUAUGCACUUUUGCGUGUGUAGAUGUAAUACAUGUUCUUGAGCACUUUACAGGUUUUGUGGUGGUGUUUAUUACUGACUGACAAAAAUCUGAGAUGCAUGUUCAGUUAUUUACAGUGAUACACAUGAAUGCGGAUAGAUAGAAUGCUAUUGUUUUUCUCUUCUAUGAGACCUCUUAAGUACUAAUCUAUUGAAUUGUUUGAUACUAUAUCAUAUUUCAUAUGUAUUCAUCUAUUUUGAUUCAAAGAUAUACGAGAUCCCAACAACGCAUCCACUAUCGACCAGGUACAAAAGCUUGAUUUGUUGAAUGCUUGCUUCCAGCAAUGUAUCAUGCUCUCUAUUUCCAUUGGUGAUGUGUAGGGAUUGGGAGCAGAUUCAUUCGCAGGUCAGCAAGCUAGCUGAAAAUUUGGUGAGAGGCGACAGUUGGUAGCGAGAAGGUCAGCCUGAUGGUGCAGAACUCUGGCUUGAGGAAGACAUGCUUCAGUGUUUCUCCAUGCACCGACAACACUAUCAUCCUGCCACCACAACACACAAAUCUGGCGAUGCUUCCACCUGCAUCUGCAUGCCCCUGGCUCCCUGCAUACAAGAAAAAAGAGUAUUCUUUUCCUGUCUCGGUAAUGCACUUGGCUAAGAAAGUUGGUGGGCAGUAAGCUGCUCAUGCUUCUUGAUCACCAAGUUGCUCAUGCUCCUUGAUCAGAACAUAAAUGGUUAAUUAAAGAUGCACAUGAGAAAGGCUCGAUUAUGCCUGGUGUUAUGGUGCUGAAUUGCUGAUCAAAAAAACCGGUGGUAAUGUUGUACCGUUUUGGUAUUGGUUGAUAUUUCACAAAGGUUGCAGGCCUCUUGCUAUUGACAGAUGAGUGAGCAAACAUGGAUGGUGAUGGUAUUCUGACAUCUCAAUGUGAACCAGUCAACCAGUACAGAGUUGAUCGCUAAUCCAUGUCAUGGACUCUAAAAGCAAAUGGUAAGCUUGGUGUGAUGCUUGCUUUGGUAGAUGGAGCUGAGUUCUUCAGUAAUAGAUGUGUUCAUGGCCUUCAGGAUUUUAUGGCAGGAAAGCUCCCAUAAGCUUCUUGGGAGGUGCCUACUUGAAUGACUGGGAGAACCAUCUAACAACAAUAUUUCAUUAGGUUAGACUGCAGCAGUAAUGAAAGGUGCUGAUGAUGGAUCAUUUAGGAUAUUGUGUGCUUUGCCAGCGUUUCAGGUCCGGAUGCGGCAUCCACGUGGGCAGGCCGUUACCAUGAAGAUCAUGCCAUCGGAUUAGUUGUCCAUGUGCAUAGAUCAAAGAAAAAAAGAAGGUACAGAUGGCAAGUAUAUACUGAAGAUCUAUAUCUGUGGUCUACUACAGCUCAACUGUUGUAAACAAUACCUGUGAUGCAUCGUUCUUCCAAAGUUUCAUAGAUGGCCUUUGCAUUAAAUAGUAUAUCCAUAUCUUUUUUUAGUGAAUAGUACUUGCAAUUUUGAGUGUGUGCUUUCCAUCUCAUAAGGUUUCCAUGUUUCAUAAUGUCCUCUUGAGUUUAAUUUGAGUUUUCAACUAUUGGAGGAACUAUAAAUAGCACUAGCUAAAUAUGUUGCACACGUGAUUCAUGUAUUCAGCUCCUUUACUACCAUAUAUAAGUUUUUGGCACAUUGGAUCUA